GUGGAGCGCCAGAUCCUGGAUUUUUCCCCCUGCGCCCUGGGCUCCCGGGCCUGCGCUGUUGGAAUCCAGCUCCCGGGCACGCAGCUCCCC
rnacentral:pre_miRNA from 1 species